rnacentral:rRNA from 1 species
UACGGGGGGGGCAAGCGUUGUUCGGAAUUACUGGGCGUAAAGGGCUCGUAGGUGGCCAACUAGGUCAGACGUGAAAGCCCGCGGCUCAACCGUGGAAGUGCACUCGAAACUGCCUAGCUAGAGUCUCGGAGAGGAAGGUGGAAUGCUUGGUGUAGAGGUGAAAUUCGUAGAUAUCAAGCAGAACACCUGUGGCGAAGGCGGCCUUCUGGACGAUGACUGACGCUGAGGAGCGAAAGCGUGGGGAGCGAACAGG